CCUACGGGAGGCAGCAGUGAGGAAUAUUGGUCAAUGGCCGCAGGGCUGAACCAGCCAAGUCGCGUGAGGGAUGACGGUCCUAUGGAUUGUAAACCUCUUUUGUCAGGGAGCAAAGGGCGCCACGUGUGGCGCUUUGCGAGUACCUGACGAAAAAGCAUCGGCUAACUCCGUGCCAGCAGCCGCGGUAAUACGGAGGAUGCGAGCGUUAUCCGGAUUUAUUGGGUUUAAAGGGUGCGCAGGCGGAAUGUCAAGUCAGCGGUAAAAUUUCGGGGCUCAACCCCGUCGUGCCGUUGAAACUGGCGUUCUUGAGUGAGCGAGAAGUAUGCGGAAUGCGUGGUGUAGCGGUGAAAUGCAUAGAUAUCACGCAGAACUCCGAUUGCGAAGGCAGCAUACCGGCGCUCAACUGACGCUCAUGCACGAAAGCGUGGGUAUCGAACAGGAUUAGAUACCCCGGUAGUC
rnacentral:rRNA from 1 species